AGAAUUGUGGCUCAGUGGUAGAGCGCUUGCCUAGCAUGCGUGAGGCACUGAGUUAAAUUCUCAGCACUGCAU
rnacentral:tRNA from 1 species